rnacentral:rRNA from 1 species
AUUGAACGCUGGCGGCAGGCCUAACACAUGCAAGUCGAGCGGGGUUUUCAGACCUAGCGGCGGACGGGUGAGUAAUGCGUAGGAAGCUGCCCGAUAGAGGGGGAUACCAGUUGGAAACGACUGUUAAUACCGCAUAAUGUCUACGGACCAAAGUGUGGGACCUUCGGGCCACAUGCUAUCGGAUGCGCCUACGUGGGAUUAGCUAGUUGGUGAGGUAAUGGCUCACCAAGGCGACGAUCUCUAGCUGGUUUGAGAGGAUGAUCAGCCACACUGGAACUGAGACACGGUCCAGACGCCUACGGGAGGCAGCAGUGGGGAAUAUUGGACAAUGGGCGCAAGCCUGAUCCAGCCAUGCCGCGUGUGUGAAGAAGGCCUUCGGGUUGUAAAGCACUUUCAGCGAGGAGGAAGGGUGGUGUGUUAAUAGCACAUCAUUUUGACGUUACUCGCAGGAGAAGCACCGGCUAACUCUGUGCCAGCCGCCGCCGUAA